rnacentral:rRNA from 1 species
UACGUAGGCAGCAAGCGUUGUUCGGAGUUACUGGGCGUAAAGAGUCUGUAGGCGGUGCUCUAAGUUUGGUGUGAAAUCUCCCGGCUUAACCGGGAGGGUGCGCCGAAGACUGGGGUGCUGGAGUCUGGGAGAGGAAAGGCGGAAUUCCCAGUGUAGCGGUGAAAUGCGUAGAUAUUGGGAGGAACACCAGUGGCGAAGGCGGCUACCUGGACCGGUUCUGACGCUGAGGCGCGAAAGCGGUGGGUAGCAAACAGG